AGAGUUUGAUCAUGGCUCAGGAUGAACGCUAGCGGCAGGCCUAAUACAUGCAAGCCGAACGGCAAGCUUGGUAGCAAUACUAAGCCUAGAGUGGCGUAAGGGUGCGUAACACGUAUGCAAUCUACCCGCAACAGGAGGAUAGCUCCCCGAAAGGGGAAUUAAUACUCCAUAAGAUCACAGGAGGGCAUCCGAGAGUGAUUAAACUACAAGGGGUUGCGGAUGAGCAUGCGGUUGAUUAGCUAGUUGGCGGGGUAACGGCCCACCAAGGCGAUGAUCAAUAGGGGAACUGAGAGGUUUAUCCCCCACACUGGCACUGAGAUACGGGCCAGACUCCUACGGGAGGCAGCAGUAGGGAAUAUUGGACAAUGGGCGAGAGCCUGAUCCAGCCAUGCCGCGUGCAGGAAGAAGGCCUUCUGGGUUGUAAACUGCUUUUGCCAGGGGAUAAAAGACCCGUGCGCGGGGAAUUGAAGGUACCUGGUGAAUAAGCCACGGCUAACUACGUGCCAGCAGCCGCGGUAAUACGUAGGUGGCAAGCGUUGUCCGGAUUUAUUGGGUUUAAAGGGUGCGUAGGCGGUUCAAUAAGUCAGUGGUGAAAUACGGCAGCUCAACUGUCGAGGUGCCAUUGAUACUGUUGAACUUGAGUACAGACGAGGUAGGCGGAAUUGACGGUGUAGCGGUGAAAUGCUUAGAUAUCGUCAAGAACACCGAUAGCGAAGGCAGCUUACUAGACUGUAACUGACGCUGAGGCACGAAAGUGUGGGGAUCAAACAGGAUUAGAUACCCUAGUAGUCC
rnacentral:rRNA from 1 species